rnacentral:lncRNA from 1 species
GAGUUUCAAACAUUUUGGUUUGUCUUUUUCCAGUCACACAGGUAUGCAGCCGCCUCAGAACAGCCAGCGGAAGAAUUCUCCAGAACGCAGCCUGAUGUUCCGAACCAAGGAUAUAAACAGAGGGAGCCGGGGGAGGAAGGAGGGAAGAGACAGAGUGAGAGAAAGAGGAGGAAGGCCCAGAGGUGCGGCUGCUGCGCCCCCGCCUCUCUGCGCGGACGCGUUCUGGCGCUCCAGCGCCACCUCGCCGUUCUACAGACCGCCCGGCGUGAUGCCCAGCGCUCCUCCCAGGAGCUGCGAGACGCCAACGAGAAGAUCACGUCGCAGCUCGCCCAGAGACUGAACGUCAGCAAGCAGUUAUCACAGACGCUGACCUCUGACCUGGCGGGUGUAGAACAGCAGAAGAAGGUGCUGGAGAUGGAGCUGGAGCAGUGGAGGCAGAUCCACAGGACCAACACCCCCCAGCAGCUCCCCUCUACCGCCCCCCAGCCCUGCUGUCCUCAAAGCCCUGGAGGCAGAGGUCAAACAGCUCCACACUAAACUGAAGAGCUCCAAGGCGGAGGUGACGAGGCACACGUCGGCUAACAAAGCCCUGCGAGCCCAGCUGCUGGAGAGAGAGAAGCUUAGAGAACUGCAGGAGAAGUCAGUACAGAGACCUGCGCUCUCUCUCUCUCUCUCUCUGUUUCUCUCUAUCUCUCUCACUCUUUCUUUCUCACUUUGUUUCUCUUUCUCUCACUCUCAUUCUCUGUCUGUCUGUCUGUCUGUCUGUCUGUCUGUCUGUCUGUCUGUCUGUCUGUCUGUCUGUCUGUCUGUCUGUCUGUCUGUCUGUCUGUCUGUCUGUCUGUCUGUCUGUCUGUCUGUCUGUCUGUCUGUCUGUCUGUCUGUCUGUCUGUCUGUCUCUGUCUGUCUGUCUGUCUGUCUGUCUGUCUGUCUCUGUCUGUGUUUCUCUCAUUCUCUAUCUCUCUCUGUUUCUCUCUCUCUCACUCUUUCUCACUUUGUUUCUCUCUGUUUCUCUCUCUUUCUCUCACUCUCAUUCUCUGUCUGUCUGUCUGUCUGUCUCUCUUUCUCUCUCCGUUUCUCUCUUGCUCAUUCUUCCUCCUCUCUGUCCCAUCUGCAGUGUUUGAUUCCACCGUGUGGCUGCUCUCUGACUGCUGCCCUGCUCUCCAGCUCAGCUCUGAAUAGUCUCUGGGGGGGUUUUCUGUUUGUGUGUUGGUGCAUUCGUGCGUGUUUAUCUGUGUGUGUGUGUGUGUGAUUUUAUUUUUCUGCGUGUGUGUUAAUGCCAUGUAUGUUGUGUGUGUGUGCCCUGUCGUUCAUUGUGUGUUGAGAUAAGAUGGAGGGUUUUGAUCAAAGAGAAGGUUAUUGAUCCAGUGUGUGUGCCGCAGGAAGGAUCAACUCUGCUCCUCGUGACACAAAAACCCACACAACACCACAGUGGCCCCCGGGCCCUCUGUUAAUGACUUACAUAGUUGAAAGAAGUGAAACUACCAAGCUGUGAUCGAUGAGCAUGUAACAUGUUUAGAGGUCUCGGCAAUUAUCAACUUAUCAAACUUUACAUUUAUCUUCUCAAACAAAGGCAGAAUGGACUGACUUGUUUAUUUCUCUCUCUCUCUCUCUCUCUGCCCAAUAUGAUACUGUAGUUCACUGUUUUCCUUUCAUCUUCUAUAAUACAUCCAACAUGUGUGUUCAGUGUGUACAGCGAUUACAGUGGUGUUGUGUGUGUGACCAAAGCGCGGGCAGAUCACAGCCGAGACAGAGCGAAGAUCCCUCAGCCGGUUUCCGUGACAACGUCCCUCAUAUCCAUUGGUCCCUUCUUCUUCUAUCGCCAUGGCGCUACCCUAGCACCUCGCCACAUCCUCGACGGGGUGUGCUUCUCUCAGAAUGAAAGACAUGUCUCUACCAGACGUCUCUGAAAUAUACAUCUCAGUACACACCAAGGGGCCAGGCAGGCUGCUCCUCGGCAACAAAAAAAAGUGAAUUUCAAAGUAAGAGUGCAUGUCCUCAGUCAAUAUCUGUCAUCCAGGCCCCUGCUUUAUUUAUGAACCUACUUCUUUCAUCUCCAGCGAUCCUGUUGUCUGUCUGUCUGUCUGUCUGUCUGUCUGUCUGUCUGUCUGUCUGUCUGUCUGUCUGUCUGUCUGUCUGUCUGUCUGUCUGUCUGUCUGUCUAGCAGAGACACAUCUAUGUUUCGACUUCUCCUUUGUUUUUUAACACAUACUGCUGUCUGUCGAACACUUUAAAGUGUGAUUAUCACGGACGCAUGUUUGACGAGUGAUAAAGUGGAAAAACAGGAGAUAAAAGAAACUAACAGUGGGGUGAAAAUGUUAGUGAUCAGGAUAUAGGCUCCGAGUCGAGUCUCUCGACUGACACUUCAUAAAUACAAAUCACUCUCUCUCUCUCUCUCUUGCAGAAGAAUAAGUACUACUAUAGUAGCUAUCCCCCAUUCUUUUUCAUCCUUUGUUCAUCCUCUGUUCAUCUAAAAUACAUGUUCCUGACGUAAUUAGCAUUAUUAGUGUUGGGGAUGAACAGAGGGAGCUGUGUGAUGUGGCUGGGCUUCUCUCUAACGCUGCUGCUCUUAAAGUCAACAGAGACCGACAUCCUAAAGGUUCAAUAUGGCUUUUCUCAUUAAUGGUUCAAUCCAUUGGGGUAACCAGGGACCCUAUGCAGCAGGUCCCCCCGGCCAGACUCUCCUCUCUCAUUUAAUUUAAUGUCACUCCAAUAAGACAAGCUCUCAUUUAUUUGGCCCAGUCUGCCCCCAGGCUAACGGCUCUAUCGAGGGAGACAGGGACAUUUACUUACACAAAAAUAUCAAAGGCACUUGCCCCUGGGUUGCGUCAUCUGUUUAUUUAGAAUCGAAGCCUAGUCCGUAAUAUGUGCAGGCCGAGAGGAGAAACAACAAAACAUAUUUUGCAAUGUAAACCUGAUUAAUUAAAAGGAAACACAUCGGAUCUUUAAUUAUAUCAUUCCAUUUGUUCUUCCGAUUCCCCUCCAGCGGGACCCCAGAAGGCCAUGAAGUCGGUAAUAUUUGCCUUUAUGUGAAAAAAACCGGAGCAAAACAUGUAAAGAGAAUAAACAACACGCUAAGCCGUUUAACUGAAAGAGUCUUUUAAGAUGAGGCUCUAAAGAGUUACGAGAAUAUUAAGCGUGUCGGGGAGAGGUUUGGAAAUGUGAAGUGACACGUCAUACAUUUUAGACACACACACAGCCAAGCCGUUUCAACAGCGGGCCCCCAGUGUCUCUCUAUCUAGUUACUGUCAGAAUAGUCAACUAGUCAAGUAAACAAACUCUUUUGGAGAUGAUUCCCCUCUGGAUCGUUAUCUACAGAACCAUGUCCCCCUCCCCAGUCGAAUGGGUUUUCAUGUGGCGAGGACAGUAGUGGAACAAAUACAUCAACAACUGUGUCUCUUUUCAUGCUAUUUGGAUGUGUUGAAUUGCAUCUAUGUUAGUGUAGAUCAGACUGUUACUGCAGUCUGGAUGUUAGUGUGUCUCAGAAGAUUUAGAAGGUCAUUUGUCAGAAAUGUUCCACAACUGAUGUUGCACAACAUGCAUAGACAUUCCCCACUAGUCUAGGAAUCAGGAAUGUAUGCAGUCUACAAAUGGGAUAUUAUACAGCCAUUCCUAUUUUCUGCAGCAUCCCCUAUCAGCAUGGGAUUGUCAAUAUAUUUAGUUGUCAUAAUGAGAUGUGAUGGAAGGGGAGCGUGGGGACACGGUGUGUGUGUGUUUGUGUGUGUGUGUGUGUGUGUGUGUGUGUGUGUGUGUUUGUGUGUGUGUGUGUGUGUGUCUCAUUCCCAGGGUGAUCCACACAGAGAGAGAUGUGCACAUGAAGAGGCAGCUGGUGGAGGACGUGAAGACCAGGAUGAAGUUCUUCCUGGAGACUGAGAAGACACACAGAGGACUGGUGGAGGAGCUGGAGAAGAAAGUAGGUCUCAGUUAACAUCUCACACCACAUGGUUUAAUCACACGCAACAAUGACUUAGCAUAAUCAGA